GAGAAUGAGUAAUCGCUGCAACGCUUGACGUUGUUGAGGAAAGUCCAUGCUCGCACGUUUCUGAGAUGAUCGUAGUGUUCGUGCUUCGCGAAAUCAUAAGCGGAGGUAGCAGCAAUGCUAACGGCGGGAGGAAGGCCUAAGUCUUUGGAUAUGGCUGAAACUCUCUGAAAAGUGCCACAGUGACGAAGCUUAUAAAGAAAUUUAUGAGGUGGAACGAGGUAAACCCCACGAGUGAGCAACCCAAAUUAUGGUAGGGGCGUUCUCCUGAAAGAAAUGAAUGGAUGGAGAGAUGUAUAUGCUUGCAUAUGCAUAGAUAGAUGAUUACUACCCGAGUAGUACGAGGCUCACGCCGUUUGAGUACGAAGGGCACAAAACAUGGCUUACAGUU
rnacentral:RNase_P_RNA from 1 species